GGUUCAAUUACCCCAGUUUGAGGUAAGCUCGGCGGUGGGUUGGAAUAAAUGGGAUGAAAAUUACAUAUUUUUGAUCCUCCCAUCGAGGGGAGUAA
rnacentral:snRNA from 13 species